rnacentral:rRNA from 1 species
GACGAACGCUGGCGGCGUGCCUAAUACAUGCAAGUCGAACGCAGUGGGGACGGGUGAGUAACACGUGGGUAACCUCCCAUCAGAGGGGAUAACACUUGGAAACAGGUGCUAAACCGAUACUGAUGGAUGGACCCGCGGUGCAUUAGCUAGUUGGUGGGGUGGCGGCUCACCAAGGCCACGAUGCAUAGCGGACCGGAGAGGUGGAUCGGCCACACGGGGACUGAGACACGGCCCAGACUCCUACGGGAGGCAGCAGUAGGGAAUCGGCGGCAAUGGACGAAAGGCGGACCGAGCAACGCGGCGUGAGUGAAGAAGGUUUUCGGAUCGUAAAACUCUGUUGUUAGAGAAGCGGUAUCUAACCAGAAAGCCCCGGCUAACUACGUGCCAGCAGCCGCGGUAAUUC